GAACGCUGGCGGCGUGCUUACCACCUGCAAGUCGAACGGAAAGGCCCUGCUUUUGUGGGGUGCUCGAGUGGCGAACGGGUGAGUAACACGUGAGUAACCUGCCCUUGACUUUGGGAUAACUUCAGGAAACUGGGGCUAAUACCGGAUAGGAGCUCCUGCUGCAUGGUGGGGGUUGGAAAGUUUCGGCGGUUGGGGAUGGACUCGCGGCUUAUCAGCUUGUUGGUGGGGUAGUGGCUUACCAAGGCUUUGACGGGUAGCCGGCCUGAGAGGGUGACCGGCCACAUUGGGACUGAGAUACGGCCCAGACUCCUACGGGAGGCAGCAGUGGGGAAUAUUGCACAAUGGGCGGAAGCCUGAUGCAGCAACGCCGCGUGCGGGAUGACGGCCUUCGGGUUGUAAACCGCUUUCGCCUGUGACGAAGCGUGAGUGACGGUAAUGGGUAAAGAAGCACCGGCUAACUACGUG
rnacentral:rRNA from 1 species